rnacentral:siRNA from 1 species
UAUGACCAUAUAGUGUCUCCGCC